rnacentral:rRNA from 1 species
GAUGAACGCUGGCGGCGUGCCUAAUACAUGCAAGUCGAGCGAACAGACGAGGAGCUUGCUCCUCUGACGUUAGCGGCGGACGGGUGAGUAACACGUGGAUAACCUACCUAUAAGACUGGGAUAACUUCGGGAAACCGGAGCUAAUACCGGAUAAUAUAUUGAACCGCAUGGUUCAAUAGUGAAAGACGGUUUUGCUGUCACUUAUAGAUGGAUCCGCGCCGCAUUAGCUAGUAGGUAAGGUAACGGCUUACCAAGGCAACGAUGCGUAGCCGACCUGAGAGGGUGAUCCGCCACACCGGAACUGGAACCCGGUCCAGAAUCCUACGGGAGGCAGCAGUAGGGAAUCUUCCGCAAUGGGCGAAAGCCUGACGGAGCAACGCCGCGUGAGUGAUGAAGGUCUUCGGAUCGUAAAACUCUGUUAUUAGGGAAGAACAAAUGUGUAAGUAACUAUGCACGUCUUGACGGUACCUAAUCAGAAAGCCACGGCUAACUACGUG